CGGAGCGACACUUUUUCCUGUUGUCGGAAAGACCGCUUCGCGAUGCCCAGACAGAAGCGACGAAUGUGCAGAUUCCGCCGGGAAUUGGUUUGUGUCUUGAGAAGAACGCGUGUUUGUGUUGAAAGGUAAUAGAGGAGCAGAGGAAGAGGCAGUUUCAGCGCUAAUGGUGACCUGGAUGUUCACAGGCUCCCGUCGGCUACCUCCUCGGGAGUAGAAGCGGUCGUGAAGAAGAUCGAGAGCUUCUAGAACAAAACUAAUGGUUCUGUCCCCAGAUAGAUCGAUGAAAGUGUCCUCUUCAGCCGAAUUACUGUUUCUUCUCCACUUCAUCUGGUGAUGCCCUCUGUCCAAUAAAGGCCCAGUGUAGUCGCUAUCUGCUACUGCAUUUGCGACGUACCACAGGACCCGUGAGUGGGGAGCCCUCCAUAAUGAAUCUUCGCCACACCAAAGAAGAAGAAGUAGGGCAUGCGACUUGAGUGAAAGUAUGUUGUUUGGAAACGGGCCUACUCGUCCUGUUGUUGCCACUGUCGCGUACAGCUCCUGUCGGGAAAAAACCAUACGCCUUAAAGACUCUUCGAGUAUCCUUUCUCGCAAGCUGUCUGUCGAGGAAGAAAAAUACCCUGCCGAAUGCUUUUGAGUAGAGGAAGGGUUUAUACGCUGUGUGGACGUGAAGGGAGAGCGUGGUACAGCAUUUUCUUCGAAACCGUGGGUCAUAUUUCUCUGUCCCUCCCACGGUUGGCCUGCUCUGUCGCCCACGAAGGUUGUAUAGUGAGACCCCACUUUCAUGUCUCUAUCAUUCGGAACUGUGACUGUUGGAGUGGCGGCGAGAAGAAGUGCUGGUAAUUCAAGAACUGUACCAUGAGACUGACUCCAUUCGUCCACUUCAGAAGCGUUUACCCAUGUUAUAUUUUCGCGGGCUUUCAGCACGAGAUUCUCAAACCCGAGCAGUUGCUCCACUUUCUCUGGAAGUUCAAAAGAAUGCUUUGCGCCCAAAGCGAAACGCAGCUCAAAUUCGAAAAACGUGAGCAGCGUGGAGAAGAAGAGCCAGGUCGGGUUCCUUCGGAGUGAAAUCCUUCAGAUCAGGUCUCUCCAUGGGAGUCGACGUCUCUUUUUUCGCAGUAAAAUACUGCUUCAGAGGUCGCUGGAGAAGGCCGAAAUUUUGGAAAGAACUGUAUAAUGGUAGUGAUGAAUCAUCGAAGCCUUCAGGGAUGUUUUCGGUGGGGAGAUAGAGGGGCAACAGGUGUACGGCGGCCUUACCCGCAAUACUGAUGGCAGCUCGCGUCUUUGUACUGCUGGUUCCACAUGCGGAAUUCUCACCACUGUGCAGAGAGUUUGAGGCUGCGGAAUCACUUGUUGAAGCUUGUUCGUACGUUUGCGCGGAGAAAGAUUGAGGAGACGACGCCGGUGCUGCGGAGGUCUUUGAGGAAGUGGCGUUGCUUUCGACGUCGUCUCCACGGUUACAUUGGCCAUCGAAUGAGGAGAGGAUCUCAUCAGCAAGAAUAAUAUUUAGUAGAACGGAGGAGUUUGGAAGGAUUUCCAGCGCAUCUUGGGCUGCUGCCUCAGCUAACAGGGGGCACUUUCUCUGAUGUCUUUGUUGCCCGUCAUUACUAUGGAGAGGCGCGACUACUUGUUUACCGUGCCCGUCCGCUGGCUUGUGAACAUCUUCGCAGGAGAUGACGCGAUCCUCAGAUGAGUUCGAAGAGACAUUCUCUGCUGAACACUGGGAACGAUCGAAUUGGUCAAGGCCGCCGGCGUCUGCUUUUCGCGAUGUAACCAGCAGCCUUGGGAAGAAAUACUCGCAGCAUAGAAGCGUUUUCUUAUGCAAAUCAAUCAUUUGCCACACACGCCGCUCGAUAGCAUCCACGUACCCCAUUUUUGCUUCAAUCGAAAGGCCUCCUUCAUCGAGGUCCAGGGCUUCUGGCACGUAAAGAAAGUCGUCCCAAGCCGCGGGCCCAGAAUCUACAGUAUUGGCUUCAGGAUGUAUCAUUUGUGGACCGGGAGAGCCUGUGGGUUCCGUGCCAUUGUUGGCGACGACCCGCUCCUGCUCCAUUGGAUACCAAGAAGUAGAUGGUACAUGAGGAACGAGAAAAAGAGAAGAAGGUGGAGAGAGGGAGGGAGGCGGCUCCUUAUUCCUGGAGCUAUCUGCCUUGUGACUUGCCUGUUGUACAGCUUUCUCGGUCGUCUUGUUUCUCCAUCCGCUCGUAUGUUCCUCAUCCUGUUCCAGUCGGGUCGGCAGCUGCUUUCUCCUGUGUGCCGUUGGAGCUUCUUCUGAGACACCAUCAUCGUCACGGGUCAGAAGCUGAUUGACACAGGGAAUACUUGCAAGUGAACUGCAUUGGUCAAGCCUCUCGUCCUGAGUCUCCUCAUGAACUUGCAGCUGAGAAGAGUAGCGUAAAAUGCUGACGCCAACAUGGUUGCUUCCUUUCUUUCCAACGGCCUCUAGAGUCGGCAGAGAUGUAUUGACCGCUGACUCAACGCGACCCGUAGAAGCGUCUUCACUGUGAGGGAACAGCAAAUGAAACUUUCUGAUGGAGACCGGGAACUCUAUCGGUAGCACCGGCAUCUCCACUAAUGUUGUGAAGUUCCCUUUAUUGUAGAGGGGCCCGGGCUCCUCAGUUUCGAGGGAAGGGUUUUCUGACGCUACCUUAGUAUCUUCCCAUUUGCUUUUCUUUGACGGCCAGGUGCAGUUGCCCGCUUCUGACAGUCUCGAGAACGCAAUGACAGCCUCAUGCACAGAUCCUGGUUGCUUUGCCCCAGCAACGUUGUUUUUGACUCGUAGUCGAAGCCCCUGGCUGCAAGAUACGUCAUGGGAAAGCCUGUGAGUUGAAGUAUACAGCUGUCCUUUCUCGUCGUUCUUGUGCUGUUUUGUUGGUUCUAAGGGCGACCGAAAUAUCUUUCCCUGGUCCUGCUCACGUGGUAGAAGUGGUGAAGUUCCGCAGAAAUCCAAGUCAGAGCAUUGAGUUACUUCGAGAGUCGAAUCAUGAAGAGAUUUCCAGCACAAAAAUGUUGUAUUCGAUGGAGGGGGGAACGCGUCUCCGGGUUUGUUGAUGUCCAUCUUUGCGCAAUUGCCUGAACAUUCAAUGACGCUCGCAGGGGAAUCCGUACAGAAUAUGGUAUCGGAGCCAAAGUCGACGUACGCCACGUCUCCGUAUCGCAAGAAGCGAGGAAGGCGGCUACUGAGAUUCCUUCACCUUGUUCCUCGUCUCCUUCCGCAACAUUUAGGAUUCUGUUUUCAACAGAUGAGGCUUCCCCGACGCACAAUUCCGACACAAGCAGAUGCUCCCAUCCUUUCCCUCUGCUUUUCUAACCUGAAGAGAAGCAUGGACACAUCGAACCUGCCUUCUUGAUUCUGUUCGCCUCGCUUUUCCUUCUUCGUCGAGAGCGGAAGUACCUUGACUGUAGCCGUGAACGGAGUCUGACCACCAUUUCCGUCUCUGCGCCCUGUGCCGCGACGUUGAGGGUCCCUCGAGCCUCCGCUUCUCCCUGCGGAGCGACAACAGGAGACACUGAGAGGACGCGAGGCAAAAACUGGACCGAUGGAAUUCUUGGAGAGGCAAUAACGGGACGCGAAAACGAACGAACCUUUACUGGGAUGAUAUCAGCUCUCGUCCUCGUCUCCACAUGAAACGAGGAAGCGAAAUUAUCAGAGGCCGUUCGCGGACUGAAGCCUGACAGCUCGUGCGGAAGGUGCAUUCUCGCCUGAACGGACUUUUCUUGGAACUAAUAGAGCUGCUUCUUGUCCCCCUCCGGUUGCACGCCCAAUCGUUGUUAUACCCAGGGAAGCGGAGGGGUGAGCUGAGGGCUGGUUCCGUGGAAUGACGGAUGUAGGCUGUCUUGGCGGAUGACGACUAUCUUCAUCAGUCCACCGAAAUCAGAACCAUUUCCCCGGAAAUUCCGAUACCUGUUCGAGGAGUUUUGGGAGGAUAACUCAGACGGGGAAGGCGAUCGCCCACUGGACGGUAACUCGUGCGAUCCAUUCCCGCAAAUUUCCUCUCCACUCCUUACACUGCCCAAUCGUCUUCGCCUUUCAGGUGUUGUUUCGGUUUCGGGGAUCAACAACAUCAACAAUGAUUUCUGCCGUCCGACAGUUCAUCGCGUCGUGCCGGUCCGAGU
rnacentral:lncRNA from 1 species